GAACUCUCUGCUCCUCACCACAGCGCUUCUCAGGUGCUGCAAGCAAAUCACUCUACCCAAGUAGCAGAAGUAGCAGCGCAUAGCCUGCUGAGAAUGGAGU